GACGAACGCUGGCGGCGUGCUUAACACAUGCAAGUCGAACGGAAAGGCCCUGCUUUUGUGGGGUGCUCGAGUGGCGAACGGGUGAGUAACCCGUGAGUAACCUGCCCUUGACUUUGGGAUAACUUCAGGAAACUGGGGCUAAUACCGGAUAGGAGCUCCUGCUGCAUGGUGGGGGUUGGAAAGUUUCGGCGGUUGGGGAUGGACUCGCGGCUUAUCAGCUUGUUGGUGGGGUAGUGGCUUACCAAGGCUUUGACGGGUAGCCGGCCUGAGAGGGUGACCGGCCACAUUGGGACUGAGAUACGGACCAGACGCCUACGGGAGGCAGCAGUGGGGAAUAUUGCACAAUGGGCGGAAGCCUGAUGCAGCAACGCCGCGUGCGGGAUGACGGCCUUCGGGUUGUAAACCGCUUUCGCCUGUGACGAAGCGUGAGUGACGGUAAUGGGUAAAGAAGCACCGGCUAACUACGUG
rnacentral:rRNA from 1 species